rnacentral:rRNA from 1 species
GUUUGAGUACUGUAGAGGGGGGGUAGAAUUUCAGGUGUAGCGGUGAAAUGCGAAGAGAUCUGAAGGAAUACCGGUGGCGAAGGCGGGCCCCCUGGACAGAUACUGACACUCAGAUGCGAAAAGCGUGGGGAGCAAACAGGAUUAGAUACCCCUGGUAGUCCACGCCGUAAACGAUGUAUACUUGGAGGUUGUGGCCUUGAACCGUGGCUUUCGGAGCUAACGCGUUAAGUAGACCGCCUGGGGAGUACGGUCGCAAGAUUAAAACUCAAAUGAAUUGACGGGGGCCCGCACAAGCGGUGGAGCAUGUGGUUUAAUUCGAUGCAACGCGAAGAACCUUACCUACUCUUGACAUCCAGAGAACUUUCCAGAGAUGGAUUGGUGCCUUCGGGAACUUUGAGACAGGUGCUGCAUGGCUGUCGUCAGCUCGUGUUGUGAAAUGUUGGGUUAAGUCCCGCAACGAGCGCAACCCUUAUCCUUGUUUGCCAGCGAGUAAUGUCGGGAACUCCAGGGAGACUGCCGGUGAUAAACCGGAGGAAGGUGGGGACGACGUCAAGUCAUCAUGGCCCUUACGAGUAGGGCUACACACGUGCUACAAUGGCGCAUACAGAGGGCAGCCAACUUGCGAAAGUGAGCGAAUCCCAAAAAGUGCGUCGUAGUCCGGAUUGGAGUAUGCAACUCGACUCCAUGAAGUCGGAAUCGCUAGUAAUCGUGGAUCAGAAUGCCACGGUGAAUACGUUCCCGGGCCUUGUACACACCGCCCGUCACACCAUGGGAGUGGGCUGCAAAAGAAGUAAGGUAGU